rnacentral:lncRNA from 1 species
UCAGCCGCCGCCUGCAUCCGCCUCCAGAACUCAGCCGCGCCGCCCCAUCGGCCACGUCGGAGCUCGGCCGGCCCCCGGGCCUCCCUGCAGCCCGCGCCUCCCUCCCUCCCUGCAGCCCGCGCCGCGCCCCACGGCCGCCGCCAGCCGUGCCUCGCCUCCCUCCCUCCCUGCAGCCCGCGCCGCGCCCCCCAGCCGCCGCCCGCCGUGCCUCGCCUCCCUCCCUUUCUUCCUGCCCGGGGUUCAAGCACCGGAGUUGAAGAAGCUCCAGCUGGGAGGCGGCGGCGGCGCGACCUCCGCCACCGGCACCGGCCGCCGAAGGUGCGAGAGGAAGGGGAACGGGAGGGCACAGGUGG